rfam:Aedes aegypti strain Liverpool supercont1.93 genomic scaffold, whole genome shotgun sequence.
CAAUCGGCCCUUUUCAGGGCCAAUAUACGUUCACAAAAGGGUUUAUU